AACGAGCGCUGGCGGCAGGCUUAACACAUGCAAGUCGAACGCGUGCAGCAAUGCACGAGUGGCGCACGGGUGAGUAACGCGUGGAUAUCUGCCUUUUGGUUCGGAAUAACCCCGGGAAACUGGGGCUAAUACCGGAUGGUUCCUACGGGAUAAAGAUUUAUCGCCAAAAGAUGAGUCCGCGUCCGAUUAGCUAGUUGGUGAGGUAAUGGCUCACCAAGGCGACGAUCGGUAGCUGGUCUGAGAGGACGAUCAGCCACACUGGGACUGAGACACGGCCCAGACUCCUACGGGAGGCAGCAGUGGGGAAUAUUGGACAAUGGGGGCAACCCUGAUCCAGCCAUGCCGCGUGAGUGAUGAAGGCCUUCGGGUUGUAAAGCUCUUUUGGCGGGGACGAUGAUGACGGUACCCGCAGAAUAAGCCCCGGCUAACUUCGUG
rnacentral:rRNA from 1 species